rnacentral:rRNA from 1 species
AGUGAACGCUGGCGGUAGGCCUAACACAUGCAAGUCGAACGGCAGCACAGUAAGAGCUUGCUCUUACGGGUGGCGAGUGGCGGACGGGUGAGGAAUACAUCGGAAUCUACUUUUUCGUGGGGGAUAACGUAGGGAAACUUACGCUAAUACCGCAUACGACCUACGGGUGAAAGCAGGGGAUCUUCGGACCUUGCGCGAUUGAAUGAGCCGAUGUCGGAUUAGCUAGUUGGCGGGGUAAAGGCCCACCAAGGCGACGAUCCGUAGCUGGUCUGAGAGGAUGAUCAGCCACACUGGAAGUGAGACACGGUCCAGACUCCUACGGGAGGGAGCAGUGGGGAAUAGUGGACAAUGGGCGCAAGCCUGAUCCAGCCAUACCGCGUGGGUGAAGAAGGCCUUCGGGUUGUAAAGCCCUUUUGUUGGGAAAGAAAAGCAGCAGGUUAAGACCCCGCGGUUCUGACGGUACCCAAAGAAGAAGCACCGGCUAACUUCGUG